rnacentral:rRNA from 1 species
GACGAACGCUGGCGGCGUGCUUAACACAUGCAAGUCGAACGGAAAGGCCCCUUCGGGGGUACUCGAGUGGCGAACAGGUGAGUAACACGUGAGUAACCUGCCCUUGACUUCGGGAUAACUUCAGGAAACUGGGGCUAAUACCGGAUAGGAAUCCUUGCUGCAUGGUGGGGGUUGGAAAGCUUCGGCGGUUUUGGAUGGACUCGCGGCUUAUCAGCUUGUUUGUGGGGUAGUGGCUUACCAAGGCUUUGACGGGUAGCCGGCCUGAGAGGGCGACCGGCCACAUUGGGACUGAGAUACGGCCCAGACUCCUACGGGAGGCAGCAGUGGGGAAUAUUGCACAAUGGGCGGAAGCCUGAUGCAGCAACGCCGCGUGCGGGAUGACGGCCUUCGGGUUGUAAACCGCUUUCAGCAGGGGCGAAGCUUGUGGUGACGGUACCUGCAGAAGAAGCACCGGCUAACUACGUG